rnacentral:lncRNA from 1 species
AAUAAUAUAAUAUUAUUAUGCAAAUUAAAAAUAAUUAAUCAAACUUAAUAAGUCUAAUUAAUUAAAAUAGUGUAUCUCCUUUAAAUAAAAAUCUGCAUAAAUCCAAUUAAAUAAAUUAAUAAAGGCCCAACAGAUUUAAAAAUUAAAAGCCCAGCUGAAACAAAAAUAAAUAAAAUCUCGGCCCAUGACUCGAGCCCACUACUAAUUAAAAUCGGCCCACUCUCUAACAAAGCCCUACCCCAAAGCCCAACCCUCACCCUAGCCCACUGACUCCACCCUCUUAUCUCCCUCAGCCGCACAACACUCACACACACAUAGCAGCUGCGCCUUCCUCUCCCUCUCUCGGCUCCCUGCCACCUCGCGCCGGACGGCAGUGCUGCCGCCGGACGCUGGCGGCUGACUCCGCCUCUCCUCAACUUCUCUCCC